AAUCAGCAGCCCCAACGUUCACCUCCACCCCCCGUCACGUCACUUACAUCGCUUCACCGCCACCGCACCCGUCGGACCACCGGACAAACUCCUGCGCCGACAUCACCCAUCUCCUAUCGCCUAUCACCUAUCGCCUUUUCCCUUUUCGAAGACGUUUCCAAAAGCUGUAAAGGGAGAGAUUCUUAAAUCCUUCGGUCUGGGAGAUAAUCGUCCUUCAAUUCGAUGAACAAUGGCAAGAACCACCAUACUCUACACCCCAACGACUCUUUCCCUUCCUAAUCAGUCUGAAAAGCUAAGCAAGGGUUGCUUGAAGCGGAUUCGGAGACUCGACGACGACAUUAGCCUCAGUUCGCUGUCCCGGAGAAGGUAAUCACACUCGUCCUCUCUUCGUCUUUCAUUUUAUAAGAAGUAGAAAUGUAGUCGUUCAAGUAUUUCUCGUCGUUUACUUGGUUUGGUUGGCUGGAAUGUGUUCUCUCCUCGUUUUGUUGUAAAUUAGUGUAAAGCGACUAAUUUCGUCGAAUAUGUGUUUAACCUCGUCGUUUGGCUAACUCCAUGUUUCAAUCAUUUUUUUUAGUCUGUGACGUUCCUAUUUCUAACAUAAAUCAGUGAAAAAAUGACCUAUAGAAACCAUGAAUUUAACAAGGGAAACUACUGAUUUGUGAGAGUGUAAUAUGAGCUUCUAUGCAGAUUUGGUAUUCCCUUGUUGUUAUCUUCUCGUAUGAUCAAGUAAAUAUUUUAAAAAAAAAAACAGUUGUACUUCUUUUCCCACAGAGAUUUGCAAUGUUAUCAUGGUUAAGGUGAUGGGAUAAUUCGUGUUAAGUAUAUUUUGAGUUGGAAUCUAGACAUAUAUGAAAACUUCUCCUCGUUUCAUUCUCGGUUUACAGAAUUAACAUGUAGACGUUUGAUUAUCUGGGCUGGUUCCUUUUUUGAGUUCUGUACAUUUUUUGGGUCUGUUUUUGUUUUAAAAAAAAAAUAGUAGAUGAGCCAUUCUGAACGUCAGCAUGUAAAAGGCUAAUACAAACUAAGGGCGUUUAGGAAGGAAACCACUGACUUAUAUAAAUUUGUAUUAGUUGAAACUUCUAGUUGUUGAAGUAACUUUAUCGCUUUUGUAUAUCUUAUUUCUUCAAACACUCUUAAGGACUGUUAUGCCGUGACUCUGUGUAGAAGCCAAUAUGUGAAUAUAUUGUGAUAUCAUAUAAUUGAAAAGAGAGGUUAUCACUUGAUUAAAGGAAAAAGUUACUAUUUUGAUUAGAGAAAAAGUUACUAUUUAAAAAGCUACUAUUCUGAUCAUGUUACUGGUUUUGACAUAAAAAAGAAAAAAGAAAAACAGUUACUGUUUAAAAGAGAGGCAGAAGAAGGGGGUAAACGAAGCUAACAACACCUAUGAGAGUAUUGUUUCCACAUAUCGAAUGAGAAAUAAUUUUGUCGUUAAGGGACUGUUCUGUUUUUCGCUAAAGGGUGUUUUGAUAAUUACCAUAACCUUUACAUUAGUAUGGACUCCUUUAUUGUAGAACUUGUAUGCUGAUUCGUGGAAGUCCAACGAUGCUAAAUUAUGGUUCUUUGUAUUUUCCACCGUUUAUUGAGUUCAUACCCAGGCUCCAUCAUUUUUUAGAGCAUAGAGUAUUAGGAGUCAUGUCGAUAGGACUCCGGGAACCUUUGUCAGAGCAUAAGUUUGCUGUGGUUCGGAAGUGAAAAUGUCUCUCUUAACUUGUUUGUAGAGGUUCACUCCUAAUCUAUUUUGGGCUGAAAUAUGAGUUUACAUAAGGCUUCUCUUCUUAAAUUAAGAACUAAUUCAUUACUAACCUGGUUAGUCAUAAAACACCAUAGGAGUUCCUUUCUUAAGUUUGUUGUAAGCAUGACAUUUAGUUAACUAAUUAAGUAGCAAAAAAGGGUAUGCCACUGGUCAAUUUCUUAAAUUUGAGAGGUUUAAGAGUUAAAUAGGCAUGACACUAAGGUCAAGAGAUCCAACUGGAAACAUGAAAAAUUCACAGCUUUAUUUCAUUUGCCAAAGGACUUAAAUCAGUUAAAAUUGUUAAGUUCAUCUGAUGUUCUUAAGUUUCUUUCCUUAACGCUCGAGAGAUUCAUACGAGAGAUAUCCCGUACCAUAGUUUGUUUGUAUUUUAUUAUCUCGACUCAUAAAGUUUGAGGCUUCAUAACACCAGGAAGCCGAGCAGCCAUGGCUGCUGUACUAGUUUCAUAGGUAUGAUGUACAUGAUAUAAGGUUUCUUGUCUUGUCAAAAAGUUGCAAAGAUUUUCUUAAGUGUGGUUUGAAGUUUGUUGGAAGUUUUGAAUACUCUUUGCCGGCUAGAGAUUGAACUAUUGAUCUGAAAUAAAUUUGAGUGAAAAGUGACCUGUUUUGCUUACUUGAAUAUUUGUCUGGUAGUGACCUUCUCUUUCUCCUACGAUUACUACCAUGGUUAAAGUCUCUAUGUAAAUGAUGGCUUCUUCCUAAACCUGAAUUAUGCUUGUUUAAUACAUAUGUAUGAAACCCCUGGGUAGAUGUUUAAAACCAUUUAAGUUACGUUAAGAAUUGAUUAGUCAUGCUAGAUUAUUGGCACUAGUUUGUUGUAUGCUUUUCUUUACUAAAAAUCUUGAAAAUAGGUGAUUUGGGAUUGACUGUUGUAUGAAUAGCAGACAUCCUCUUGAAGAGGCUCGAUGGACCCUUAAAAUGUUUGAAAGUCUGUCUGAUAACUCAGUUGUAGGAAUUAGUUAAACCGGUCUAUCUCAUUGAAAGUUCCCUACGCCCAGAUUAUUAUUUGGUCUUGUUUGUUUUACUCCAUUUUUUGGGAUAAAAACUGCUCUAAUCCUUUUCUUUCUCUCCUUCUUUUUCUGCAUGAAACACUUGGGAGCAUUUGGAGUUAUGGCAACUCUGGAUUUUGCCCAGAAUUAGAAGAAAUCAGUAGCAGCUGCGCUUAUGCUCAUGUCCCGCAGUCCUAUCUCCUUCUGUCUCGAGUCUAUGUCCUUCCUCCUCUCUUCACACAUUUGUAUCUUAUAUAUUUAUUUACGUUACAUGUUAUUUACACCCUCCGACUAACGUUCUUUUAUGGAUUUGUGUUUUGUAGUGUACUUGUUCCGGGUAUGAACUCGUUAAAGUAAUUAAGUAGAAUACUAUGUUCAAUUGUUUGUC